GGCGGUUUAGUAAGUNUGGAGUUAAAGGCAUUGGCUCAACCAAUGUAUGCUUUGGAAACUGUUAGACUUGAGUGCAGAAGGGGAGAGUGGAAUUCCAUGUGUAGCGGUGAAAUACGUAGAUAUAUGGAGGAACACCGGUGGCGAAAGCGGCUCUCUGNUCUGUCGCUGACGCUGAGGCUNGAAAGCGUGGGUAGCGAACAGGAUUAGAUACCCUGGUAGUNCACGCCGUAAACGAUGAGUGCUAGGUGUUAGGUCCUUUCCGGGACUUAGUGCCGCAGCUAACGCAAUAAGCACUCCGCCUGGGGAGUACGACCGCAAGGUUGAAACUCAAAGGAAUUGACGGGGGCCCGCACAAGCGGUGGAGCAUGUGGUUUAAUUCGAAGCAACGCGAAGAACCUUACCAGGUCUUGACAUCCCGAUGCCCGCUCUAGAGAUAGAGUUUUUCUUCGGAACAUCGGAGACAGGUGGUGCAUGGUUGUCGUCAGCUCGUGUCGUGAGAUGUUGGGUUAAGUCCCGCAACGAGCGCAACCCUUAUUGUUAGUUGCCAUCAUUGAGUUGGGCACUCUAGCGAGACUGCCGGUAAUAAACCGGAGGAAGGUGGGGAUGACGUCAAAUCAUCAUGCCCCUUAUGACCUGGGCUACACACGUGCUACAAUGGUUGGUACAACGAGUCGCAAGCCGGUGACGGCAAGCUAAUCUCUGAAAGCCAAUCUCAGUUCGGAUUGUAGGCUGCAACUCGCCUACAUGAAGUCGGAAUCGCUAGUAAUCGCGGAUCAGCACGCCGCGGUGAAUACGUUCCCGGGCCUUGUACACACCGCCCGUCACACCACGAGAGUUUGUAACACCCAAAGUCGGUGAGGUAACCAUAUAGGAGCCA
rnacentral:rRNA from 1 species